UUUUUUUUAACUUGAUCUCUUCUGUAAGGCAACACAAUCAACAAUCAAUCCCCAGAACGGGCCCUCAGAUGAAUCCUUUAGUAGCAGCACAGACUCCAGUUGAUGAAAUGAUGAGACAUGCAUAUGUUGAUCCUAAUGAUCCAACAAGAAUUUUUUUGCAGCAGCCCACUCCAGAGUCCGAGUUAAGGAGGCGCACAUACCAGUUGUCUCCAGCUGAACGCUCCAUAUGAUAGCAUUUUCUUUGUUGGAUUGUUUAUCAAGCAAACUAGCUAAAUACAGUUAAUCGUGUUGUGAUGUUGUACAUAGCAAACCUACUUAUUUAGUGAUUCAGUGAUUUUAUACUUUAAAUUGCUACUUAUUUUUAUUCCAUGCCUUUGGUGGGUAUGGUAUCCUUACAUAAAUUUUAUUGUAUUGCGUAGUAAACACUGUUAAAGUUCAUGCAAGGAUACCAUACCCACCAAAGGCAUGGA
rnacentral:misc_RNA from 1 species